ensembl:lincRNA
AUGUGUAAGUCUGUGUAUGUUCGGAGCAGGAGGAUUUGGGCAGGACAAAGGCUAUCCUCCUCUCCUCCCCUGCAGCUAGUUACCUUUGGGCUCCUGAGUGCUUGGACUUCGUACGUGAACUCUGCAAACUCACAGGGAGUACAGCUGAGCAAGAUUGGUGGGAGAAGAGCAGAUUUCAGUAGGUACAGCCUUGUGGAGAGCCACGUCACACACGGAGAGACCUCGGCAUUAUGCAGCAAGGCUGCGGAAUGAGUCGGGGAAGAGGAAGCCAUUUGUACCAAAACUAAGCGCAAGUCUGCUGGCGCACACAUUGGGGAGUGAAGACCCAAAAUGAAGGCAGGUAUUUUAUCCUCGGGAGCAUAAACAACUGGUUAAAAGUAAGCUGGAGAAGCCAGAAGGGAUGCCAGAGGCUGGGUGGUUAGAUAGGGGUCAGUUUGUGGGGAAGACAGAGGAAAACGAGAAGGUCCACUUUCGCCUCCCGCGAACUCUUCGUUCCGCUCUGUGACUACGAAUGAACGGUCGGUCCACUCAUCGCCUCUCACCUACCUAAGGACGAUUCUUCAGAAACUCUUCCUUCCUGCGUCAAACUCCCGAUCUCCCCGCUGCAGUGUGCGUUGCAGCAGCAGGAGUGCGCUGUCCCAUAGCGCUCUCUCCUGCCAGUGGUCGUCCUCCGUCCCUGGCCCGUUCCUCUUCGCCACUUCCUGGCAUGUGGUGUUAAAAAGAAGCUUUGCGUCCUCCCACUAACCCUCCCACUGUUCGAGUGUGGCUGUAGCCAAUGAGAUGUCACCCCACUGUUAAAUUAAAAUCUAUUUUCAGUUCCUGUCUUAUUUAAUCAAUCAGCAGCACAGCACUAUCCAUAUUAAAAACACUGUUUGGUGGGGGUACAGUUGUUCUCGGUCUGUCUGUCUUAUCUGUGAUUCGUUCUUGCCUUCUUCUGUUGGCUCCCUCUGACCCACAAGGAGUGAUGGAAAAAUAAGGGGUG